rnacentral:rRNA from 1 species
UACACUCCUGCGGGAGGCAGCAGUAGGGAAUCUUCAACAAUGGGUGCAAACCUGAUGGAGAAAUGCCGCGUGAGUGAAGAAGGUCUUCGGAUCGUAAAGCUCUGUUGUUAGAGAAGAACACGUGCUAGGUAACUACUAGCGCCUUGACGGUAUCUAACCAGAAAGUCACGGAUAACUACGUGCCAGCAGCCGCGGUAAUACGUAGGUGACAAGCGUUGUCCGGAUUUAUUGGGCGUAAAGGGAGCGCAGGCGGUCUGUUUAGUCUAAUGUGAAAGCCCACGGCUUAACCGUGGAACGGCAUUGGAAACUGACAGACUUGAAUGUAGAAGAGGAAAAUGGAAUUCCAAGUGUAGCGGUGGAAUGCGUAGAUAUUUGGAGGAACACCAGUGGCGAAGGCGAUUUUCUGGUCUAACAUUGACGCUGAGGCUCGAAAGCGUGGGGAGCGAACAGGAUUAGAAACCCCAGUAGUCCCA